UGACUCUCAGCCAGAAAUUAAGCAAUAUUUCCUGACCUUCCAAGACUGAAUUGAGGAUUCUGUUUUCUGCCUUUUCUUCAAGUAUAUUGACUUGAGUGGCAGAAAUAGUGGUUUAAACUUUCCUGUUCUCUUUUCCCAUGUCUACCUCUAACUGAACAUGGGGUAGAAUCUGCUGUUUGUUUAUAUGCUUUGAUUUUCCAAGGACUGGGCCUAUGACUUGAUACACAUAGUAAAUCCUGUCUCACUGAAUGAGUAGCUGAGGGGUUGAGAAAUUGGAUAUAUUUGUUGAAUUUGUGUUUUAUUGUUCUGUAGGAAGGAACGUCAACUCUAGCGGGCAAGAAGAGUAAAAAACGUUUUUUCAUCACUCAAGUUGCUCCACAACAGCCAAUUAUGAACUCUGAUCACGGAUUGGACAAAGAUAACAAAUGUAGUGAGUGCAUAUCUAUCAAAACUUAAUAUUAAAAUUCAACGAACAGAAAUGAGUAGCUCUGAAUUGGAUAUCCAUUUAUUUUGAGGGUUUUAUUUGGCUUUUUUUAAUAUAACCAACUUCUUCCUGAAACAGCUUCAACCCUCUGAAAUUCAUCCUUACUAUUCGUUUUAUUUCAUUGAAAUCUUCAUUUCAUUGCAAUAUUCAUGAGUGGAGAGAGACACGCCUUUAUGUAAAAUGUUUCCAUGUGAAGAAAUGUUCUCACUAGUUGAUCUGUUACUGCAUUUGUAGAUAAGGAGUCUACCUCCCAAAGAGAUCCUGAAGACAGCAAAUCACAAAAGAAUUCGAAGGAGGAAUCCUCUGCAGAACCUCUAAAGAGGGAAGAAGGUAUUGCCCCACUUAACCAAUUUCUAGGCAUGCAAGUUAGUAGAGACUGAUCCCCUGAGGUAGUAGAAGCGGUCCUUGAGUGUAUGUAUGUUCUUCUUUUUCAACGUUACUGCUAAAUGAAAC
rnacentral:lncRNA from 1 species